rnacentral:misc_RNA from 1 species
UUCCCAUGCGCGGAGCCAUUUUGAUUUACUAAAAUAAUGGCUGCCGGUCGCCCUAGCCACUGACGCUUCUCUAUUGAUCGGAAAUUAAUAAUUAAUUCAGUUAUUAGUUUUAUUAAAUUCAGUGACUAAUUAUAUGUAUUCUCUUUAGCAUAAUUAGAUUUCAAUUAUUCUUUGACUGGCAAAUUGCAUCUUAACUAAGAUGGAUGGGCCGCCUAACCGAGGCUUUCGUGGUGGCCGAGGAGGACCGCCAGGCAUGAAUUCUAGAGGAAGAGGUGGAUUCGACAUGCGUGGACGGGGUGGACCUGGAAUGAGGGGCAGAGGCCCACCACGAGGUGGCCUCCCAUUUAGAGGAGGGCCGCGAGGAUUUCGUGGCGGACCAAUGAGAGGCGGUGGUGGUGACAGAGGUGGAAGGAGUUUCCCGCCGGGUCCCCAGGGUCCCGGACCACAUCCCGUACCCACAAUUGAAUCUCGAGGUGCGCCACCACAACGUGGAGGAUUCAACAACAGAGGUGGACCAGGAGCUAUGAGGGGCAGAGGAGGGAGAGGUCGUGGGGACUUUGGCCAGCGAGGUGACCGAGGUGGUGGUCGUGGAGGGAUGCCAAUGAGAGGUCGUGGUGGACGCGGCGGUCAUGGUAUGCCUCCAGGCGGUCCUCCCGGAGGCCCAGGAGGCCCACACUCUGGGCCAGGCCCUGCUGGGCCUGGGCCACGUUCAGUACCCCCACAUGCUGCGUCUUCUGCACCACCCAUGCAGUCGCAACCCACGCCUCCAUUCAAGAGAGGUGGUGGCCCACCUCAUGGAGGCCCUGGCGGUGGCCCACCAAAGAGGCCAAGAUUUGAAGGUCCUCGAGGAGGUGGCCGACCUCCACCACAGGGUGGUUAUCAGCAGUCUGCUCCUCAACACAGUGCACCACAACAAGCAAAUGGCUAUGGACCAUCUCACACUGGAUACCAACCGUAUGAACCUCCUGCGGCUGACCCCUAUGCCCAGCCAUCAUACAAUACUCCCAGCUCUUAUCAAGGCAACAGUUACUCAACUCCUGCUCCAGCUCAGUCUAGCUCAGGUUACAAUUCUGGCAGUUAUGGUUCAGGCUAUGGCUACUCAACUGGUGGCCAAGGAGGCUACGAAAAUGAAGGAUACAGUGGUGGCGGCAGCGGCGGUGGCGCUGGAGGCGCGGGUGACGCCGGCUAUGGCGGCUCCGAGCCCGCCUACGGGGGCGCGGCUCCGUCCUAUGAUUCAUAUUCGCAGCCCUCGUACAACUCAUACCAGCAACCACAGCCGCAGUAUAACAAUAACUAUGGAAUGGGAUGAAUUUUCAAUUUAUUGACUCAUGUUGAUAUUGAAAAACUGCAGUCUGUCAGACUGCACAAGAUGAAACACCUUCCUUCACAGGUCGGAUGUUGCAGACGGAGUGGGAAACACGUGGGUGUUUUGAUUGUUACAAGCCUUGUAUUGUGACAGUUUGGAAGAUAAAGAUGUUUUUAAAAAUGA